GGGAGCGUAGCCUAGUGACCAGGCACCCGGCUUUUAACCGGGCCAAGGAUGAGUUUGAAUCUCUCCGCUCCUACCA
rnacentral:tRNA from 2 species